rnacentral:rRNA from 2 species
CGAGAAAACUUUGCAAUGUGCGAAAGCACGACAAGGUUAAUCCGAGUGUUUUCUGCUAAAGAAAUCUUUUGUCAGUCCUAAAAACACUGAUGAAUAAGGGGUGGGCAAGUUCUGGUGUCAGCCGCCGCGGUAAAACCAGCACCUCAAGUGGUCAGGAGGAUUAUUGGGCCUAAAACAUCCGUAGCCGGCCGUGUAAGUUUUCGGUUAAAUCUGUACGCUUAACGUACAGGCUGCCGGGAAUACUGCAGAGCUAGGGAGUGGGAGAGGUAGACGGUACUUGGUAGGAAGGGGUAAAAUCCUUUGAUCUAUUGAUGACCACCUGUGGCGAAGGCGGUCUACCAGAACACGUCCGACGGUGAGGGAUGAAAGCUGGGGGAGCAAAACCGGAUUAGAUACCCGGGUAGUCCCAGCUGUAAACCAUGCAAACUCAGUGAUGCGUUGGCUUAUGGCCAAUGCAGUGCUGCA